UACCAUAUUGUGCAUGCU
rnacentral:miRNA from 1 species